GAUGAAGAACGUAGUAAAAUGCGAUAAGUAAUGUGAAUUGCAGAAUUCAGUGAAUCAUCGAAUCUUUGAACGCACAUUGCGCCCGCUGGUAUUCCGGCGGGCAUGCCUGUUCGAGCGUCAUUUGCAACCCUCAAGCCCGGCUUGUGUGAUGGGUGCCGUCCCCUACGGGACGCGCCCCGAAGGCAAUGGCGGCGUCGCGGUUAUCCGAUCAGCCAAAGUGUAUGGGGCUUUGUCACUCACUUUACGGCCCGGACCGGCGCCAGUCCGAAUCAAUCUUUUUUCUAAAGUUGACCUCGGAUCAGGUAGGGAUACCCGCUGAACUUAAGCAUAUCAAUAAGCGGAGGA
rnacentral:misc_RNA from 1 species